rnacentral:lncRNA from 1 species
AUGAGGGACAGAAGAGGGCCCCUCGGCACCUGCCUGGCACAAGUGCAGUGGGCCGGAGGAGGUGACUCGGACAAACUGUCAUACAGCCUUAAGCAAAGAAUGCCGAUGGAGGGCCCUUGGCCUGCAGAUGCACCCUCCUGGAUGAAUAAGCCUGCGGCUGAUGGAAAUUCAGAGUGAGGCAUUAUCACUGGAAAUGAGAAAGGAUCCGAGCAGGGCUGGCCUCUCGCUUCCCAGUGGCGGCCCAGUUCUUCCAUAUGUGAAAGAAUCAGUAAGAAGAAAUCCAGCCUCAGCAGCCACUCCGAGCGCAGCCGUGGGUUUGUUCCCUGCUCCAACAGAGUAUUUUGCUCGGGUGUCCUGCAGUGGUGUUGAAGCUCUGGGGCGGGACUGGCUGGGAGGAGGGCCCAGGGCCACCCACGGCCACAGAGGACAGUGCCCCAAAGGAGAGCCUCAGGUGUCACGACUGCCAUGCCAUCAAAAACUGCCGGAAAUGGGAAGUUUUCAGGAUGACCCACCAAGUGCUUUUCCCAAGGGUCUGCGCUCUGAGUUGGAACCCUCUUGCCUGCAUUCCAUCCUGUCUGCAACACUGCAGGCGUGUCCCGAAGAGCUCCUGAAUGACGAGACAAAACGCAUUUUCCUUGACCGUUUAAACCCCAUGUUUUCAAAGCAAACAAUAGAAUUCAAAAAAAUGCUUAAAAGUACCUCAGAUGGUCUGCAGAUAACACUGGGGUUACUGGCUCUGCAACAUUUUGAAUUAGCAAAUUCAUUAUGCCAUAGUUAAGGUACAAGCAGAACAAUACAAGUAGAUUAAUUUUAAGAGUUGUCUUAGAAUGA